GAUGAAGAACGUAGCGAAAUGCGAUAAGUAAUGUGAAUUGCAGAAUUCAGUGAAUCAUCGAAUCUUUGAACGCACAUUGCGCCCCUUGGUAUUCCGAGGGGCAUGCCUGUUCGAGCGUCAUUACACCACUCAAGCUAUGCUUGGUAUUGGGCGUCGUCCUUAGUUGGGCGCGCCUUAAAGACCUCGGCGAGGCCACUCCGGCUUUAGGCGUAGUAGAAUUUAUUCGAACGUCUGUCAAAGGAGAGGAACUCUGCCGACUGAAACCUUUAUUUUUCUAGGUUGACCUCGGAUCAGGUAGGGAUACCAGCUGAACUUAAGCAUAUAAUAAGCGGAGGA
rnacentral:misc_RNA from 1 species